GGUAAGCGGAAUUCCGAGUGUAGCGGUGAAAUGCGUAGAUAUUUCGGAGGAACACCAGUGGCGAAGGCGGCUUACUGGGCUCUAACUGACGCUGAGGCUCGAAAGUGUGGGGAGCAAACAGGAUUAGAUACCCUGGUAGUCCACACUGUAAACGAUGAUAGCUAGGUGUGGGGGGUCUGACCCCUUCCGUGCCGGAGUUAACGCAAUAAGCUAUCCACCUGGGGAGUACGACCGCAAGGUUGAAACUCAAAGGAAUUGACGGGGGCCCGCACAAGCAGUGGAUUAUGUGGUUUAAUUCGAAGCAACGCGAAGAACCUUACCAGGUCUUGACACCCAACUAACGAGAUAGAGAUAUGUUAGGUGCCCUUCGGGGAAAGUUGAGACAGGUGGUGCAUGGUUGUCGUCAGCUCGUGUCGUGAGAUGUUGGGUUAAGUCCCGCAACGAGCGCAACCCCUGCCAUUAGUUGCUACGCAAGAGCACUCUAAUGGGACCGCUACCGACAAGGUGGAGGAAGGUGGGGACGACGUCAAAUCAUCAUGCCCCUUAUGACCUGGGCUACACACGUAAUACAAUGGCCGUUAACAGAGGGAAGCAAUACAGCGAUGUGGAGCAAAACCCUAAAAACGGUCUCAGUUCGGACUGUAGGCUGAAACCCGCCUACACGAAGUUGGAAUUGCGAGUAAUCGCGGAUCAGCAUGCCGCGGUGAAUACGUUCCCGGGCCUUGUACACACCGCCCGUCACACCAUGGGAGUUUGUAACACCCGAAGUCAGUGUCCUAACCGCAAGGAGGGAGCUGCCGAAGGUGGGAUAAGCGACUGGG
rnacentral:rRNA from 1 species